GUGCUCGCUCCAGCAGUGCAUAUACUAAAACUGGAACAAUACAGAGAUUAACAUGGCCCCUGUGCAAGGAUGAGACACAUAUUUGUGAAGUGUCCUGUAUAUUC